rnacentral:rRNA from 1 species
GUGGGGAAUAUUGGACAAUGGGCGCAAGCCUGAUCCAGCCAUGCCGCGUGAGUGAUGAAGGCCUUAGGGUUGUAAAGCUCUUUCAGUGGGGACGAUAAUGACGGUACCCACAGAAGAAGCCCCGGCUAACUUCGUGCCAGCAGCCGCGGUAAUACGAAGGGGGCUAGCGUUGUUCGGAUUUACUGGGCGUAAAGCGCACGUAGGCGGAUCGUUAAGUCGGGGGUGAAAUCCUGGAGCUCAACUCCAGAACUGCCUUCGAUACUGGCGAUCUUGAGUCCGGGAGGGGUGGGUGGAACUCCUAGUGUAGAGGUGGAAUUCGUAGAUAUUAGGAAGAACACCCGUGGCGAAGGCGGCUCACUGGUCCGGUACUGACGCUGAGGUGCGAAAGCGUGGGGAGCAAACAGGAUUAGAAACCCUGGUAGUCC